AUUCCUUGUCGGGUAAGUUCCGACCCGCACGAAAGGCGUAACGAUUUGGGCACUGUCUCAACGAGAGACUCGGUGAAAUCAUAGUACCUGUGAAGAUGCAGGUUACCCGCGACAGGACGGAAAGACCCCGUGGAGCUUUACUGUAGCCUGAUAUUGAAAUUCGGCACAGCUUGUACAGGAUAGGUAGGAGCCUUUGAAACGUGAGCGCUAGCUUACGUGGAGGCGUUGGUGGGAUACUACCCUAGCUGUGUUGGCUUUCUAACCCGCACCACUUAUCGUGGUGGGAGACAGUGUCAGGCGGGCAGUUUGACUGGGGCGGUCGCCUCCUAAAAGGUAACGGAGGCGCUCAAAGGUUCCCUCAGAAUGGUUGGAAAUCAUUCAUAGAGUGUAAAGGCAUAAGGGAGCUUGACUGCGAGACCUACAAGUCGAGCAGGGUCGAAAGACGGACUUAGUGAUCCGGUGGUUCCGCAUGGAAGGGCCAUCGCUCAACGGAUAAAAGCUACCCCGGGGAUAACAGGCUUAUCUCCCCCAAGAGUUCACAUCGA
rnacentral:rRNA from 1 species